rnacentral:rRNA from 1 species
CCUACGGGAGGCAGCAGUAGGGAAUCUUCCGCAAUGGACGAAAGUCUGACGGAGCAACGCCGCGUGAGUGAUGAAGGUUUUCGGAUCGUAAAGCUCUGUUGUUAGGAGAAAGAAACAAGUGCAAGAGGUAACUGCUUGCACCUUGACGGUACCUAACCAGAAGAGCCACGGCUAACUACGUGCCAGCAGCCGCGGUAAUACGUAGGUGGCAAGCGUUGUCCGGAAUUAUUGGGCGUAAAGGGCUCGCAGGCGGUUUCUUAAGUCUGAUGUGAAAGCCCCCGGCUCAACCGGGGAGGGUCAUUGGAAACUGGGAAACUUGAGUGCAGAAGAGGAGAGUGGAAUUCCACGUGUAGCGGUGAAAUGCGUAGAGAUGUGGAGGAACACCAGUGGCGAAGGCGACUCUCUGGUCUGUAACUGACGCUGAGGAGCGAAAGCGUGGGGAGCGAACAGGAUUAGAUACCCUGGUAGUCCACGCCGUAAACGAUGAGUGCUAAGUGUUAGGGGGUUUCCGCCCCUUAGUGCUGCAGCUAACGCAUUAAGCACUCCGCCUGGGGAGUACGGUCGCAAGACUGAAACUCAAAGGAAUUGACGGGGGCCCGCACAAGCGGUGGAGCAUGGUGGUUUAAUUCGAAGCAACGCGAAGAACCUUAC